UUGGGCCGGUUACGUUUGAUCCGAUUGUGAUUGUCGUCUGGGCUGAUUUGGGCCAAAUAAUCCAAAUUAGGGCUUCGUCGUUGUUACCUUCCUCACAUAAUCAAUCCGCCGUUAUCUGUUUUAUGAUCUGCAAACAUCUGCUCCUCUUCUCAUCUCUACACUUCACAUGUCUGUAUCUCUUCACCUCCCUUGAGGAUCAAUGUCUUGCAUAAUUCGCGAGUAAUUGAUACUCACAUUAAUCCCAGAUCUCGACGCUUCCAUUUCCUUCGCGUGAAAUCUAUAUAUAUCAGCGUCUUGAGAAGAUGAUUACCCCUCGGAAUCUUUGUUAGUUUAUCAUAUUCUAAAGCGUAGAAAGUUUCUCAGAGAUGGCCUCAUCCGAUGUUGUUCUCGCGCACUCCGCCUUUGACGCUCUCCGACUCGGUAGAUCUCCCCAGAUCAUUGUUGGUCGUGAUCUUAAUCUUCAAUCUCCAUUUACCAUACAGAAGGCAAACGUUAGGACCACAAGCCAAGAAGCCAAGCCAAAUCACUCAUCCAAUACACCUUUAUCUAUCUACACUGACAAUCACUGGGGAAUCAUCCGGAAACAUAAAAGUCAAAACCAGAGUAAUGCUUGGCUAAUGCUUGGAGGCAGAGCAGAGAGGAACAAAGAAAACAAUUCAUUACCUUGAAAAUAGAAAACAUUCAAGGUUCCUCCGAAACCUAUUGCGAGAAUUCCUGCAGCCUCUGCUUCCUCAUUUGAGGUUUUUGUUGAUGAAGAAGAAGAAUCUACAGAAGAGGUAGGAGAGACGAGGAAGAGUGAAACUAACUAAUCAUCGUCAUCACAAGGUCUGCCGCUUAGUGAUGGCCGUGAGAUUAAAAAAGCUGCUACGACAGAACCCAUUAAGACAUUUCCCACCCAACAGCUUCCUACGACAUCUCUACCAAGAAGCAUAACAGACACGAUCUUCUGAGUUUGAGAUUUGAGUUUUUGUCUAUAAAGCUCCUUGAAUUAUUUUCCUAUUUUGUGUACUGAGAUCUACGUACCGUGCUGAGCUGUCCGUCUGUUCUUUUUUUUUUUUUGACCAAGUUUCCGUCUGUUCUUGAAACUGAGUUUUUAAAAAUUUAACUGAUUUGAGUUAGUUACUUAAAUCUCCUCCUA